rnacentral:rRNA from 1 species
CAGCCGCCGCGGGAAUACGAAGGGGGCUAGCGUUGUUCGGAUUUACUGGGCGUAAAGCGCACGUAGGCGGAUCCUUAAGUCAGAGGUGAAAUCCCAAGGCUCAACCUUGGAACUGCCUUUGAUACUGGGGAUCUCGAGUUCGGGAGAGGUGAGUGGAACUGCGAGUGUAGAGGUGAAAUUCGUAGAUAUUCGCAAGAACACCAGUGGCGAAGGCGGCUCACUGGCCCGACACUGACACUGAGAGACGAAAGCUAGGGGAGCAAAUGGGAUUAGAGACCCGUGUAGUCCCUGUCUCUUAUAA